GGCUACGGUCAUGCUACCCUGAACAAGCCCGAUCCUGUCUCAUCUCGGAAGCUAAGCAGAGUCGGGCCUGAUUAGUACUUGGAUGGGAGACCACCUAGGAAGACCAGGUGCUGUAGGCG
rnacentral:rRNA from 1 species